rnacentral:tRNA from 1 species
GGGCCCGUAGCUCAGUAUGGAUAGAGUGCCAGCCUUCUAAGCUGGAAGUCGCGGGUUCAAAUCCUGCCGGGCCCG